UACGGGGGGGGCAAGCGUUGCUCGGAAUUACUGGGCGUAAAGGGCUCGUAGGCGGCCAACUAAGUCAUACGUGAAAUCCCUCGGCUUAACCGGGGAACUGCGUCUGAUACUGGAUGGCUUGAGUUCGGGAGAGGGAUGCGGAAUUCCAGGUGUAGCGGUGAAAUGCGUAGAUAUCUGGAGGAACACCGGUGGCGAAGGCGGCAUCCUGGACCGAUACUGACGCUGAGGUGCGAAAGCGUGGGGAGCAAACAGG
rnacentral:rRNA from 1 species